UACGUAGGGUGCAAGCGUUGUUCGGCAUCAUUGGGCGUAAAACGCGUGUAGGCGGCCUACUAAGUCUGAUGUGAAAGCCCGGGGCUCAACCCCGGAAGUGCAUUGGAUACUGGUUGGCUAGAGGGCGAGAGAGGGAAGUGGAAUUCCUGGUGUAGGGGUGAAAUCCGUAGAUAUCAGGAGGAACAUCGGUGGCGAAGGCGGCUUCCUGGCUCGUUUCUGACGCUCCGACGCGAAAGCGUGGGUAGCAAACAGG
rnacentral:rRNA from 1 species